AUGGACUUGCGGGCCUUCUACUUCCAGGCGGCGGAGGCGGCGGCGACGGCCACGGCCACGGAGGACGACGACGUGACGACACCCAAGCUCUCCCCCAGCGCAGCGGUGCAGCGGGAAGGCCAGAGCAGUGGCGGCGCUUCCCCGGUGGUGGGGAUGAACAGCGGGGGAAGCGGCGGCGCGCGCGACCUGAUCUGCCCCGAGUGCGGCAAGGCCUUCCUGUCGGACAAGGCCAUGUACGGGCACCUCAGGUGCCACCCGGGGAGGAGGAACAAGGGGGCGAUCCGCCCGUCGACGCCGGUCGCCUCCGCCUCUUCUGUGACCCGCGGAGACGCCAAGGCGAGGAAACUGCUGUGGAGGGAGGAUGACCUCCCGACCAAGUGGCCGUUGACGGCCAAGCGCGGCCGCACUCCGACCGUAGCCACCUCCGUCACCGUGCAGCCCGUGUCCGUGCUCGAGUCCACCUACACCGCCGAGGAGGAGGCUGCCAACACUCUCCUGCACUUGUCCCAGCAGGCCCGCAACGCCGCCGUUGCGGAGCAGGAGAUGCAGAUGCCACGGGCCGAUCAGCUCGAGCUACCGGCUGAUCAUGUCGCCGACCCCGUCGCGCCGGAGCCCGAGCAGCCUGUGAUACCAGACAUGGCCGCCGGCGCCGACGCGCUGCAGCACGUGCAGCAGGCUGAGACGCGUGCGCCGGUGGAGCACAUCUUCGGCAUCAUCUUGCAGCCCCGGGCGCUCGGGGUCGAGCCGUCCAACUUCAUCGCAGCGUCGGAGCCUGUGAACAAUCCUGCGCCCGUCGUGGUCCGCGACGAGGACAAGUCCAUCUCCCCCGGCGUCAAGAAGCUAAAGAAGCGACGGCUCCAUGAUCCAGUUAGCCAGAGUCCAGAUUCCUCUCGGCCGCUGCCAGAUCCCGAGGACGUCAGGCCGCCGGUGAGGCGCAUACCGUCGCCGGCGUCGGAUCGGAGGUACGGGUGCCCGUCCUGCUUCAAGUCGUUCCCCACCCACCAAGCCCUAGGCGGCCACAUGGCGAGCCACAACAGGGCCAUCAGAUGCGCCGCCGCGCAGCAGGUGGACGGGCUCGCCGUGGCCCAGGCCGUGCAAAACAUCUUGGCCCAUCGCCAGCGCCAAGAGGGCGCCAACGCCAGCGCCAGCGCCAGCGGGAUCAUCGGCGAGGAUCUCCAGAUCAGCCUCCGGCCGCCGAAGCCGGUGUCGCACACAUGCGUCCGGUGCCGUCAGAUCUUCUCCACCGGGCAGGCGCUCGGCGGCCACAUGCGGAAGCACUUUCUUGAGGACAGGCUGCAGGCGGCCGCUGCCGCCGCGCCGCCGGGCACUGCUCCGCCUGCUCUAGCUGCAGCAGCCGCGGUGGCGCUGGCCAUUGCUCCGGCAGCAGUGCCAGCGGCCCAAGAUGGCGCUCCCCGGGACUUUGAUCUCAACGAGAUGAUGCCUUGGGAGUGA
rnacentral:rRNA from 1 species